AAAUAAAGGGGUGGGAGUGCGAGACUGCCACGCGCUCGAUUUGAAAGGAGCGAACCCUAGCUGGGUUAUGAUAGGCUGCUGACAGAGACGAGUAAAACCCUUCCAAUGCCCCCUCGCCUCCUUUGCCCUCUUCGGUUCAUCUUCUCGUCGUUUGUGUUCUAAACCUGAUCCUAUGCCCUUCCGUUAUCGUUCGAUCUCAAGACCCGCCCUCUCUUUCAUCAAGUCUUCCAUAAGGAAACCCGGCAGCCCCCUCUCUCCCAAUCUCCCCUCUCGCCCAAUUCCUUCGUUUCCAAGGCAAGAUCUCUCUUAUCGGGUUCCUCGUGUGAUGGGUUCCUUGCAAUCCCUCCAGCCGUUCCACAGCGCUGUGUCUUCGGCUCGGCUGACCUCGCGACUGGGGAUAGACUCCAGGGCGGGCUCAAGGUCGCUGUCACAGGGUACGCUCUGCAGUUCCAACCCUGGAGUCUGAUCCUCUCUAACCUCCAAUUUCUUUCUUAACUAUUUGGUGGAGUAAGACACCGGCUCUCUUUCUUUCUGGCUGUUUUUAUUUCGUAGUAUUGGUGACUUAUUAAUUUGACAGAUUUUUCUCUUUAGAGUGUUGUGAUGCUGAAUUUUAUCUGUUUAUGUAUUAAAUAUAGUUUUGUUUGUAACUCUGUUUGAUAUUUAUUUGGUGGGAAGUUUAGUACAUAUGAUCCAAAAUAGUGAAG